AGGACGAACGCUGGCGGCGUGCUUAACACAUGCAAGUCGAGCGAGGCUCCUUCCUUCGGGAGGGAUGCCCUAGCGGCGAACGGGUGAGUAACACGUGGGCAACCUGCCCCUAGCACUGGGAUAACUUCGGGAAGCCGAGGCUAAUACCGGAUAUGACCUCUGAGGGCAUCCUCGGAGGUGUAAAGGAUUCUGGCUAGGGAUGGGCCCGCGGCCUAUCAGCUAGUUGGUGGAGUAACGGCCCACCAAGGCGACGACGGGUA
rnacentral:rRNA from 1 species